GCAAUUAUCCAAUGACCUGGAGUGUAAAGCAAGGCUUUACUCCUUCCAUUUGAAGAAAGGUGGCCUACCGGAUUGCCUUAGCUCGUGUGGGGAAGAGCCUUUCACGAAGUACAAGACUUUAAGUAUCUGCAAGCACUCAACUUGAAGGAUUUAGAGGAUAGGUGGUGCAACAUGUUACGGAGUCGUCCUCGGUGGAAAAGUUCUUCGGUGAAGAAGUGUCAAGUGGUACAGUGUGUCCAAAUGGGAUUUGCUGGACAUGGUGUAUGAAGUCGG